rnacentral:rRNA from 1 species
CAUGCUAGUCGCACGGGUUUAGACCCGUGGCGGAAAGCUCAGUAACACGUGGCCAAACUACCCUGUGGACGGGGAUACCCUCGGGAAACUGAGGUCAAUCCUCGAUACGGCUCGCACGCUGGAGUGCGGCGAGCCGGAAACGUUCCGGCGCCACAGGAUGUGGCUGCGGCCGAUUAGGUAGACGGUGAGGUAACGGCUCACCGUGCCAAUAAUCGGUACGGGUCAUGAGAGUGAGAGCCCGGAGACGGUAUCUGAGACAAGAUGCCGGGCCCUACGGGGCGCAGCAGGCGCGAAACCUUUACACUGCACGACAGUGCGAUAGGGGGACUCCGAGUGCGAGGGCAUAUAGUCCUCGCUUUUCUGUACCGUAAGGUGGUGCAAGAAUAAGGACUGGGCAAGACCGGUGCCAGCCGCCGCGGUAAUACCGGCAGUCCAAGUGAUGGCCGAUAUUAUUGGGCCUAAAGCGUCCGUAGCUGGCCGGACAAGUCCGUUGGGAAAUCUGUUCGCUUAACGAGCAGGCGUCCAGCGGAAACUGUUCGGCUUGGGACCGGAAGACCUGAGGGGUACGUCCGGGGUAGGAGUGAAAUCCUGUAAUCCUGGACGGACCACCG